UACUAGAGUAGCACUCGCAUAUCAAUAAGCGGAGGAAAAGAAACUAACAAGGAUUCCCCUAGUAACGGCGAGUGAAGCGGGAAGAGCUCAAAUUUGAAAUCUUAAAGGGUUUCCCUUUACGAAUUGUAGUUUAAAGAAGUGUUUUCUGUUGAGGUUUUGGUAAAAGUUCUUUGGAAUAGGACAUCAUAGAGGGUGAGAAUCCCGUAUUUGACCUUUACUUUCAACUUUGUGAUACACUUUCAAAGAGUCGGAUUGUUUGGGAAUGCAGUCCAAAAUGGGUGGUAAAUUUCAUCUAAAGCUAAAUAUUGGCGAGAGGACCUGAUAGCGAACAAGUACCGUGAGGGAAAGAUGAAAAGAACUUUGAAAAGAGAGUUAAACAGUACGUGAAAUUGUCAAAAGGGAAGCGUUUGACACCAGUGUUGUUUUUCUGAAAAUCAAUUAAAGAACUGUUUAUGCUAAGCUGUUUAGACUUUAUCAGCUAUCUGUUUAGUUUUGAGCUUUUCUUUAAUGCACUUUUCAGUUAACAAGUCAACAUCAAUUUCUUUUGCUGUAAAAAAAGCUUGAGGAAGGUGGCUUGAGAUUCGUCUUAAGUGUUUAUAGCCUCUUGCCUAUGCAGUCGGAGAGAUUGAGGUCUGCAGCGUAGAUCCUUCGGGGCUAAAUGCAUUUGUGCUAAGUUAUAGCAUUUUAUAGACAACUUGUUGACUAUGAUUUGUCUUGUAGCUUACUCGCUUAUGUUAUUUUACCUACGCUUAGGAUGUUGAGCGCAUGUCUCUCUCU
rnacentral:rRNA from 1 species